rnacentral:tRNA from 1 species
GGGUGAGGCUCAUUGGCAGAGCACAUGCUUAGCAGGCACAAGGCCCUGGGUUCAAUCCCCAGCAACACA